rnacentral:rRNA from 1 species
AUUGAACGCUGGCGGCAGGUCAAACACAUGCAAGUCGAGCUGAGAAGCGGAAGGGUGAGUAAUACAUAGGAAUCAGACUGGUAGUGGGGGGUAACAUCCGGAAACGGGAGCUAAUACCGCAUAAUAUCAGAGGAGACUAGGUCGGAUUAGCAAGUAGGUGGGGUAAAGGACUACCAAGGCGACGAUCCGUCACUGGUCUGAGAGGAUGAUCAGUCACACUGGAACUGAGACACGGUCCAGAUUCUUACGGGAGGAAGCAGUGGGGAAUAGUUGACAGUGGGCGAAAGCCUGAUCCAGCCAUGCGGCUGAUGUGAAGAAGGUCUUCGGAUUGUAAAGCAUUUUAAGUUGGUAGGCGUUACCAACAGAAUAAGCACGGGCUAACUUCGUGCCAGCAGCCGCGGUAAUUC